ACGGAUUACCGCUUCAUAAUAGUUCGGCAAGGCAACUAUGGCCGAUUCUUAUGAAGGUUGAGGAACUGCCAGAAGCCCCGGUAAUGUUAGUUGGGGCAUAUUGCGGAUACACCAAGCCGGACAACAUCGAGCAGUAUUUGCGGCCACUCGUGACGGAAAUAAAUGAACUGCAUGAGAGAGGUUUGAUGUUCGGCGAUAAAAUGGUGCAUACUAAACUACGCAUGUUUGUCGCGGAUUCACCUGCUCGCUGUUUUGUCAACGCUACCAUUAGCUUCGUUGGAAAACAUAGCUGCCUGAAAUGUUCCUGCGUUGGAGUGCACGAAGCGAACAAGAAACAAUUUUAGCAUCGAUUACCUUUGGACCAACAGAAACAACUUCCUGAAACAGCCGUAAAAUGUUGGUCUUAUCAUAAAACGGAAUUUUUGGAUUAGGCCGGUCAUCCCCACUCCAACUGCAUUUUGUCAAAAACAUUUGACAAAACAAUGCGUACAAUAACUCGUGUAACCUCUGCUUGUAGAAGGUAACUAAAAUUGCACUACACAUUCGCGUUUUUACCUCGUCAUAAAACUCCGCACAUGACAACUUUUCAUUGAAACGCUUCAUAUCAUCUUCCGACGUAAUUUUUUCCAUUACAGAUCCAGUAUCCAUGUUUGAUGACGACGACGCCGGUACUACCAAGUUAUCAAUAAGAUGAUCUAGUUGGCAUUUCAUUGUGACCACUGCACUCAUCGUUUUGGAUACGUUCUUCGUAUUUUCAUCCAACUUUAGCU